AUUGAACGCUGGCGGCAGGCCUAACACAUGCAAGUCGGACGGUAGCACAGAGGAGCUUGCUCCUCGGGUGACGAGUGGCGUACGGGUGAGUAAUGUCUGGGGAUCUGCCCGAUAGAGGGGGAUAACCACUGGAAACGGUGGCUAAUACCGCAUAACGUCGCAAGACCAAAGAGGGGACCUUCGGGCCUCUCACUAUCGGAUGAACCCAGAUGGGAUUAGCUAGUAGGCGGGGUAACGGCCCACCUAGGCGACGAUCCCUAGCUGGUCUGAGAGGAGGACCAGCCACACUGAAAGUGAGACACGGUCCAGACUCCUACGGGAGGCAGCAGUGGGGAAUAUUGGACAAUGGGCGCAAGCCUGAUGCAGCCAUGCCGCGUGUAUGAAGAAGGCCUUCGGGUUGUAAAGUACUUUCAGCGGGGAGGAAGGCGAUGUGGUUAAUAACCGCAUUGAUUGACGUUACCCGCAGAAGGAGCACCGGCUAACUCCGUGCCAGCCGCCGCAGUAA
rnacentral:rRNA from 1 species